UACGUAGGGGGCAAGCGUUGUCCGGAUUUAUUGGGCGUAAAGAGCUCGUAGGCGGUUGGGUAAGUCGGGUGUGAAAACUCCAGGCUCAACUUGGAGACGCCACCCGAUACUGCUCUGACUUGAGUUCGGUAGGGGAGUGGGGAAUUCCUGGUGUAGCGGUGAAAUGCGCAGAUAUCAGGAGGAACACCGGUGGCGAAGGCGCCACUCUGGGCCGAAACUGACGCUGGGGAGCGAAAGCGUGGGUAGCAAACAGG
rnacentral:rRNA from 1 species